rnacentral:snoRNA from 1 species
ACGACCUUACUUGAACAGGAUCUGUUCUAUAGGUUGUACUACUGUAUCCUUGAGUGUAAAGGAGACAAGCAACAAAGUCUGGUGGAUGAAACAUGACCUCAGAGCCAGAGCGUGAUUGACGGCUGAGAUUCGCUGCGAAUCUCCUGCUGUGGAGGAUCGUCCCUGACCGGCCGAAAGCCAGUCGGGUUGGCUCUGAGGUUGUCUGACAGACU